rnacentral:rRNA from 1 species
UACGUAGGGGGGCAAGCGUUGUCCGGAUUUAUUGGGCGUAAAGCGCUCGCAGGUGGUUCGUUGCGUCGUGCGUGAAAGACCCCGGCUCAACUGGGGAGUGUCGUGCGAUACGGGCGAACUGGAGGCCAGUAGGGGGGAUGCGGAAUUCCGGGUGUAGUGGUGGAAUGCGUAGAGAUCCGGAGGAACACCAGCGGCGAAGGCGGCAUCCUGGACUGGUCCUGACACUCAGGAGCGAAAGCGUGGGGAGCGAUCGG